CGUUGCGGACUUGCUCCCCGCAACGGGUGAGCCCGGCAUAGCAUAAACCGGGAGGGCGGGAACG
rnacentral:sRNA from 12 species